AGAGGUGCUCUGGGUGACGUCAUUCCUCCACCGAGAGGAGCAGCAAUGGCGAAGCUAACGAGCGAGCUAAGCUAACUGACAACGACCAUGACCGACAGUUUGUCCUGUACACUUCGAGGGAAACACAUUUAGAAAAAAAGCAUCUUUUUACCUUCUGGCGACAUCACAAUAUGUUCAGCAGCGCACCGCCAGUAGCGACCGUCGACCUAUCUUUCGGAGUAAUGAUCGGGCAGACCUUCUACAAACUGGUGCCCGAGGCUGUCGUUCCUCCCGUGAUUGAGCCAGCGAUUUCGAAGUAAGUAGCGUAUUCUCUGUAAAUCGUCUUUCCUGGCCCACACACACAGGCGCAGCGUACUGUGUACUGUGUUUUGUUUUAGUUUUUAGGCCCAAAACGAAAAAAGCCCCCGCAAGCACCGGGCCUUACAUCAGGAAGCCGCCCAACGCCUUCAUGGUGUUUAUGAAAUAGCAGCGACCUGUUGUUAAGGCUGCUGCGGAAGGGCAAGACAGCGCCACUGUCAACGCCGUCCUGGGUCAGAUGUGGAAGCCGCUCUCGCCGGCCCAGCAGCAGCCAUAUUACAUUGAAUCUGACCGGCUCAGACGCAUCCACGCCGCCAUGUACCCGGACUGAAACUGCAGAGAUAACUGUGAAUCCCAGAUUCAUUUACUCGUGAUACAGUGGAAAGACAGGAGUCAACAAUUACUCAAAUGUUUUUUUUUUUAACGUUUUUGUUUGUUGUUUCUGUUUAGGGGAAAAGGCCAAAGAGGAAGUGGGGCCGUGCAGCCAGCAGUCAAAAUCAUCAGAGCGACCUGUUUUGUCAUGCUCCACACACUGAUAUCGUAGCCUCCAAUUGGAACCAUACCGGGCCCGACCAGAACCAGGUGUCCAGCUUUUCAUCGGGGAACACUGAAAUCGGAGCCUCCGACUGGAACCCGAAUACCGGGCCCGACGAGGACCUCGUGUCCAGCUCUUUAUUGGGGGACAUUGAGAUCGGAGCCUACGAUUGGAACGUGGAUGCGGGGCCCAACGAGGACUUCAUGUCCAUCUUUUUCUCGGGGGACUCUAAAACCGGAGCCUCCGAUUGGACGCCGGAUGCGGGGCCCGACAUGGACCUGACUCGGCCUUAUUCGACCACCUUGAGGCACUGGAGGCGGAGGAAGCUGCCGCGGGUCGCCACUACAGGGUUCGCACGCGGCCCUAAAAGUCCCUAAAAACCCCUAAAUUUUCGAAGGUGCAUUUAGGGGCUCCUGAAAGUCCUUAAAAAUCUGCGAAAACCGGUCAAGCCCCUAAAAAGGCCUCUAAAGGGAGGACCUCUACCGCCAAAAUUCUCCCUAAAAAAAAUAUCUUUUAUUUUUAAAAAAAUAGCGAUCCGUCUGGCGUCCAAAACAGCCGGAAAUUGUCACUCGUGUUGACAACUAGUUGCCAUCUUGUCGAUAUUCCAUUGUUUGUUUCCGUGAGUCGGCAUUUCACUUCGUCCUCGUUACGACGUAGCGUAGUUCUUUCAUCGAUCCAACUUGUAUCAUGGGGAAGUGCAUUUUUCAAUAUGCUUGGGUUGAAAGUAAGGAGUUUGAGAGCUGGGUUCGUCAAGAUCCAAAAGAUCGGCACAUGUUUUACUGCCAUCUGUGCAAGCAGAGUGACGAGCUUGAAAAGAUGGGCGUCAAAGCGCUGGAGUUGCACCGGAAAAACGAGACACGCUGAUUUGGCGAAGACUCUCUCAUCUUCCGUUGGUAUGAAUCUGUUUCUAAAAUAUCAAGAUAGUGAAGCAUCAACUUCAGGCAGUGGUACUGGCAGUGCAUGCGCACCUACAGUUGUCCAGUCAUCGACUUCAAUCAGCCGGAAGUCAGGCUUUAUGAACGGAGUUCAAUACACGAAGACGGACUCGUUAAAGGCAGAGAUCGUGUCGACUUUAAAAGUGAUCUGCAACCAUUACAGUUACAAAUCUUGUGAAAAUAAUUCGAAAGUGUUUGCAGUCAUGUUCCCAGACAGUGACAUUGCUAAAAACUACCACUGUGGGGAAAAGAAGACUUCGUACCUGGCUACAUUUGGCAUCGCUACCCACUUUUCAUCUAUACUGGUUUAAAGCCAAAAAAGCCAGAAUAGAGACUCACAUAUCUACGCUUAUUGAGAAGGCCGACAGGCUGUGUGAGGAGGCAGAAGAAAAGAGGAAUCUGAGGUUUAUCACCGAGGCCAAUGCACUCAGAGGCAGAGCAAAGGACAAGAGAGCCACUUUGGCACCUCUGCAGCAACAAAUAGAGGAGGCACUGGGUAGGCUCAAGGAGCUCGAGUAGGGGUGCUGAAACAGACAUCAGUAAAAGACAUAUGUGUAUAAAGUUGCAAUUGUAGUUAGAAUCAGUUUUUCUGUAGACUGCUAUGUGAAGACAUUGACAAUGGUCAUAUCAAUGAGAACUACCACAAGGGGCCACAGGUGAUCACUGUCACAGGUACUGAGGUACUGGAACAUUUAAUGAACCAAGAAUGGUUGAUGGCACCAUUGGGUGAGUCUUUUUUCCUUACUCGUGUCAGCCCCUAAGAAUGCGCCGAAAAAGCCCUUAAAUUUUUGGGGUCAGACUGAGUAUGAACCCAGCACUAGAAUAUAAAUUUCUUUCACAUUUUCAAAAUAAACCUGUAUUUUUUCAUAAAUUGCUUCGUAUUUCUUUUUCUCCUUCAUUUUUCUCUCACUGAAUGUUUUCACCAGUGUAAUUUAUUCAUUCUAUUUUGUGUUUCCUCAAACUGUCGAUGCAAAUGCCAACUGGAUAAAAAUAGGUUUACUCACGAAAACAAAUGCACUUUUUUUCUUCUGUCCUAAAUAAUGUUGUCUUUCAGCAAAGUAAUUAGCGGUAUUGGGUGGUGACUUUUAACACGUGAGGCACAUUGUGACACAUUUGACAGUUGCGAACCAAGCGACCUUUGGGCCACUCCAAGACAAGUUCUAUUCCUUCCCACAAAAUCAAACCUGAUCCAACUUGCGGCCGUGGAGGACCAGCAACUGGCGGCUUUCCAGAUUUGGUGUACAGAUUUGGGAGGAGUGUCCUGACAG